GAAGGAAAGGAUGCGCUAAUAAGCAUCGCAGGUUUGUCCUCAGUUUCUUUUGGGUCUGGCAGGCAUAGUGCCAUUUUACUUUAGUCUCUACACUUGAAAGGCAGGCAGAACUGUGAUUUGGAGGCUAGCCUGGUCUACAUAGUUCCAGGAGAGUUACCCUACCCCCUAAAACAAAACAAAGGAUCUGUUGCUCUGUCACUCAAGGCUAGGGUUCCCACUCUGGUGGGCAGUUUUUCUCCCUCGUCCUAAGGGGGUAAGCAUAAGCUGCUGCAAAGUGGAUGUGACCCGGAAGUGCAUCUCUCACUGUCCUCUCCUUUUCUCCCCUGAGGACUGAGACAUGCUCCUACGUUGGCCACCAGAGGUCAGAACAAACCCAGGAGCCAGUUAGGCAUGUCUACUAAGUAGGGACCCUGGAAGCCUUAUACUGGAAUCAAAGUAGCCAGACUGAAGGAUAGAAAGGCACAGAAAUGGAGGUGUUUAAAACAGUGUUCUUCCAGAAGACCUGGGCUUCAUUCUCAGCACCCACAUUGUAGCUCUGUGAUCCACUUGUUCUGCUGUCUGUGCGUAUACUUGUGGUACACAGACAUAUAUGUGGAUAAAACAUAUAUAUGCACAUGCAUACACUGUUUUUGAAGCAGGAGUGAAGUAGAAACUUACAGUUUCUUUGAAAAGUCAGUUGUGUUGGAUGGUGUUUUCUGGGGGAGACAUACAGAGUGUUUUCCUGAAGGGGACACCAGUGAAAGGAUGUUUUGCUAAGCAAACACAUGAAAGGACACGUGGUGUUAAGUAUUGCUACACUUCGCUAUUCCUUAAGCAUCGUUUGUUGUGACUUCAUAGAAGCACACCAAAAAGCUUGUAGUGAUCUGGUGAUGUCUUGCUACUUCCAUGGACACCAGCUGAUUGGCAGAGUGAUGUCAGCUGAUACAGAUUCCUGCGGAGUUUUGCUGAGGCAAGACCCAUGGGAGAACACAUGAUGUUUGGAGGGAGUAUAAAAAGGACUCAAUAGACAGUGAUGGGAGUAUGGGGGAGGGGCUUGCAUAGCUAGCUUCGCAGCACUUCGUUGGUCUCAUGUCUUCCUUGAUCUUCACUUGGUUGAGAGAGACACAGCAGAGAACUUCCGGCAUCCCUGCUGGUCCUGGUAGCUCCUGCUGACUCCUGUCCACUCAGCGGAGGCCUGGCUGUUUAUGCUAGGCUGAGCCACCACUGCUGAUUCGUGUUUGCUCUCCUGACUACUGAACUGGACUGCUGGUGUAUAUCCUUUCCAGCAGAUAGGAUUUGCUCCAAAGAACAAUUUCUUUUUUCUUUUCUUUUUUCUUUUAGUGUAGAAUAGAGUUUAUUCAGGGCACGGGGAGGGGAGUAGAAAGGGUAGAGAGACAGAGAAAGACAGAGAGAGUAGAGGAGUAGAGGCCAGCCAUGAGCAUGUGGAGAGAAAGGGGGAGGGGAAUGGGAAGAGAAGGGGAAGGGGAUGAGAAGAGGAAGGCAAGAGUCAAAAAACAAUCUCUAAACAGGUCCACUUCCCCAUGUCCUAAUAGCCUUUCCUUUCCACUACCUCUGGAGGGUGGUGGGCUAGAAGGGAGGUUAAAGCAUUUCAGAACUCUUAUUAAAAGUAGGUUUUGAAAAAUUGAAGCCUAUACAGGUUUUUUCCGUGUAGUCUGUCUGUCCUAGAACUUGCUCUGUAAACUAGGCUGGCCUGGAACUCAGAGAUCCACCUGCUUCUGCCUCCUCAGCCAUGGGAUUAAAGGUAUAACAAGUUAAAAAUGAAAAGAAAAAUGGGAAAUCUUGGAGGGCAUGCAAAGGAAAAGGAACCUGUUGCUCAGGAAUCUGAUUGAAGCCUCUUGCCAGUAGGAAAACAGGAAUUCCAGUCCAAUUACUAAGAGCUCAGGCCUUUCUCCCUUCUCAGGUACAAUCUGGAAUUUCCUCAGAAUCUCAUUUACAGGGAUAGGACAUGUACUGACCCCUGGUGGCUCUGGUUUCAUUUUAUAUUAUACUCCCAUUCAAAGUUUCUGCAGAGCCACCUCAUUUAUCUCCUUCAGAGGAUGAAGAUGGAGCCUGCAAGAGCUCACUGGCUCAAAGUGCUUACACCCACCCACCUGAAUUCAGUCCCCAGGAACCACGUGGUGGGGGAGGAGACUGAUUCCUGCAACUUGUCACCUGAACGCUUCACUGUGUAGUGGGCCCAUAUAAAAAAAAUUGUAAUGAAAUGUAGAGGGUUUUUUUCUUCUUCAGGCAACCAUGUGGCCCUCACUAGCCUGAAACUCACCCUGCCUGUGUUUCCUGAGUAGUGGUAUCUAAGGUGUGUGUUACUAUGCCCAGCAUUAAAGACUUAUUUUUAUUCAUGUGCA
rnacentral:lncRNA from 1 species